rnacentral:ncRNA from 2 species
GCCUCAGCCGUUGAGAACGGUCACAUCCGUACACGCGGAUGUCAGGGAACCCGGUGCGAAUCCGGGACUGACGCGCAGCGGUAUGGGGGACGGCCUCGACAUCGGCCACUGGAGAACAUCUGGGAAGGCGUCGAGUCCGGAUGAUCCCGAGUCCGAAUACCUGCCGUACUCGCUUGAGUCCA